CCUACGGGGUGCAGCAGUGAGGAAUAUUGGUCAAUGGACGAGAGUCUGAACCAGCCAAGUAGCGUGAAGGAUGACUGCCCUAUGGGUUGUAAACUUCUUUUAUAUGGGAAUAAAAUGUUCCACGUGUGGGAUUUUGUAUGUACCAUAUGAAUAAGGAUCGGCUAACUCCGUGCCAGCAGCCGCGGUAAUACGGAGGAUCCGAGCGUUAUCCGGAUUUAUUGGGUUUAAAGGGAGCGUAGGUGGAUUGUUAAGUCAGUUGUGAAAGUUUGCGGCUCAACCGUAAAAUUGCAGUUGAAACUGGCAGUCUUGAGUACAGGAGAGGUGGGCGGAAUUCGUGGUGUAGCGGUGAAAUGCUUAGAUAUCACGAAGAACUCCGAUUGCGAAGGCAGUUCACUGGACUGCAACUGACACUGAGGCUCGAAAGUGUGGGUAUCAAACAGGAUUAGAUACCCGUGUAGUC
rnacentral:rRNA from 1 species